rnacentral:rRNA from 1 species
GGUACCCUACGGGAGGCAGCAGUAGGGAAUUUUCGUCAAUGGGCGCAAGCCUGAACGAGCAAUGCCGCGUGAACGAGGAAGGUCUUCGGAUCGUAAAGUUCUGUUGACGGGGAAAAAAGACCGGGAAAGGAAAUGAUCCCGGAGGAGAUAUUACCCGUCGAGGAAGUCACGGCUAACUACGUGCCAGCAGCCGCGGUAAUACGAAGGUGGCGAGCGUUAUCCGGAUUGAUUGGGCGUAAAGGGUGCGUAGGCGGUCGAUUAAGACUGGAGGGAAAGGUACCGGCUCAACCGGUAUAG